rnacentral:rRNA from 1 species
GUCUACGGCCAUGCCACCCUGAACAAGCCCGAUCCCAUCUGAUCUCGAGAGCAAAGCAGGUUCGGGCCUGGUUAGUACUUGGAUGGGAGACCACCUAGGAGGACCAGGUGCUGUAAGCA